GAUGAACGCUGGCGGCGUGCCUAAUACAUGCAAGUCGAACGAUAAGAGGAGCUUGCUUCUCUUUUAGUGGCGCACGGGUGAGUCAUAAAUAAGCACCCUACCGAUUCGACCGGGAUAACAGUUGGAAACGACUGCUAAUACCGGAUAGGUCCUCGGUGGACAUCCCCUGCACAUUAAAGCUGGGACACAGCGCUAAUGGAUGAGCUUAUGGCGCAUUAGUUAGUUGGAGGGGUAACGGCCCACCAAGACGAUGGUGCGUAGCCGACCUGAGCGGGUGACCGGCCACACUGGGACUGAGACACGGCCCAGACUCCUACGAGAGGCAGCAGUAGGGAAUUGUCGGCAAUGGGCGCAAGCCUGACCGAGCAACGCCGCGUGAGUGAAGAAGGCCUUCGGGUUGUAAAGCUCUGUUGUAAGGGAAGAAUGGACAAGAGAGGGAAUGCUCUUGGAGUGACGGUACCUUACCAGAAAGCCACGGCUAACUACGUGCCAGCCGCCGCGGUAAGAC
rnacentral:rRNA from 1 species